rnacentral:rRNA from 1 species
AUGGUAGCCCGGUGGCUGCUACCGCUAGUGCUUCUUCUCGGCCUCGCCGGCGUCCUUCAGGUCCAUGGCCAGGUCGACAAGUUAGCCAGUUUCAUAACGAUAGACUGUGGCCUGCCGGAGAAUUCCCCUGGCUACAUGGACAACAUCACCAAGCUCCGGGCAACCGGGGACGCCGGCUUCACCAACGCCGGGACCAACCACAACAUCUCCACCGAGUACAUCACCCCGACGAUGGGCUGGACUUGGCACACCGUGCGCAGCUUCCCCAUCGGCGUGCGCAACUGCUACACGAUCCGCCCAGUAGGAUCGGCCGGGCCCAACUACCUCAUACGCGCCUUCUUCAUGUACGGCAACUACGACGGUCUCGAUAGGCUGCCCAUCUUCGACAUUUACCUCGGCGUCAACUACUGGAAGACCGUUAAUAUCACUGGCGCUGACAUACCAUUGAUCGUGGAGGUCAUCGCCUACGUCUAUGGCGGCAUUGUGCAGGUAUGCCUCGUGAACACCGGCUCCGGGACGCCGUUCAUCACCAGCCUGGGUCUGAGGCCCCUAAAGACGACGCUCUACCCGCAAGUCAACGCGACGCAGGGGCUUGUUCUUAUCACCAGGUCCAGCUUUGGCACUAAUAAGACCGUGAGGUACCCGGACGAUGCCUACGACCGGGUAUGGCUCCCGUGGACCAAGCCGCAUUCGGACCAAAGUUUUAAAUAG